rnacentral:lncRNA from 1 species
UUUGUGCUGGCAAUACCUUUGAUGUAAAGGAAUGCUAUGCUUAUUGGUCAAAAUGGAGCGAUUGGACAGCUUGUAAUGCUUCUUAUGGAUUUAUAAACAGAACAAGAGAAUGUAAAAUUUCUAAUGCAAGCGAUUGGUGUUAUAAUAAUAAUACUGAAGUUUUAGAAUGUUUUGCUAUUUGGGCACAAAGGAGCAAUCUAACUAAUUGUAAUUUUUCUCAUGGAUUUUUGGACAAAUCAAGGGUUUGUGAGAUUUCAAAUGUUAUAGAUUGGUGUCAUGGCAGCAAUUUUGAAGUCAUGGAAUGCUUUGG